rnacentral:rRNA from 1 species
UACGUAGGGGACAAGCGUUAUCCGGAAUCAUUUGGCGUAAAGCGCGUGUAGGCGGUUCUGUAAGUCCGCUCUGAAAGCCCAGGGCUCAACCCUGGGAGGCGGGUGGAUACUACAGAACUGGAGUACGGAAGAGGAGAUUGGAAUUCCUGGUGUAGCGGUGAAAUGCGCAGAUAUCAGGAGGAACACCAACAGCGAAGGCAGAUCUCUGGGACGUUACUGACGCUGAGACGCGAAAGCGUGGGGAGCAAACAGG